ACAUCCAGAGAACUUGGCAGAGAUGCCUUGGUGCCUUCGGGACCUCUGAGACAGGUGCUGCAUGGCUGUCGUCAGCUCGUGUUGUGAAAUGUUGGGUUAAGUCCCGNAACGAGCGCAACCCCUAUCCUUUGUUGCCAGCGAUUCGGUCGGGAACUCAAAGGAGACUGCCGGUGAUAAACCGGAGGAAGGUGGGGAUGACGUCAAGUCAUCAUGGCCCUUACGAGUAGGGCUACACACGUGCUACAAUGGCGCAUACAAAGAGAAGCGACCUCGCGAGAGCAAGCGGACCUCAUAAAGUGCGUCGUAGUCCGGAUCGGAGUCUGCAACUCGACUCCGUGAAGUCGGAAUCGCUAGUAAUCGUAGAUCAGAAUGCUACGGUGAAUACGUUCCCGGGCCUUGUACACACCGCCCGUCACACCAUGGGAGUGGGUUGCAAAAGAAGUAGAUAGCUUAACCUUCGGGGAGGGCGUUUACCACUUUGUGAUUCAUGACUGGGGUGAAGUCGUAACAAGGUAAGCGUAGCGAG
rnacentral:rRNA from 1 species